rnacentral:tRNA from 1 species
GGCUAUGUAGCUCAGAAGGUUAGAGCGCAGCACUCAUAACGCUGAGGUCAUGGGUUCAAUUCCCGUCAUAGCCA